CACGUAGGGGGCAAGCGUUGUCCGGAUUUAUUGGGCGUAAAGAGCUCGUAGGCGGUUCGGUAAGUCGGGUGUGAAACCUCCAGGCUCAACCUGGAGAGGCCACCUGAUACUGCUGUGACUCGAGUCCGGUAGGGGAGCGUGGAAUUCCUGGUGUAGCGGUGAAAUGCGCAGAUAUCAGGAGGAACACCAGCGGCGAAGGCGGCGCUCUGGGCCGGAACUGACGCUGAGGCGCGAAAGCGUGGGGAGCAAACAGG
rnacentral:rRNA from 1 species